rnacentral:rRNA from 1 species
GACGAACGCUGGCGGCGUGCCUAAUACAUGCAAGUCGAACGCAGUGGGGACGGGUGAGUAACACGUGGGUAACCUCCCAUCAGAGGGGAUAACACUUGGAAACAGGUGCUAAACCGAUCCUGAUGGAUGGACCCGCGGUGCAUUAGCUAGUUGGUGGGGUCAAGGCUCACCAAGGCCACGAUGCAUAGCCGAACUGGGAGGGUGAUCGGCAACACUGGGACUGAGACACGGCCCAGACUCCUACGGGAGGCAGCAGUAGGGAAGCUUCGGCAAUGGACGAAAGUCUGACCGAGCAACGCCGCGUGAGUGAAGAAGGUUUUCGGAUCGUAAAACUCUGUUGUUAGAGAAGCGGUAUCUAAACAGAAAGCCACGGCUAACUACGUGCCAGCCGCCGCGGUAAUUC